AGUUCUUUGGAAUGUUCAAAUAACAAGAAUAGUGGUGUAGUGGUGGCCCUUGCCAGACCUACCGUAACUGGAAAAACUAACAAUGACUUUUCUCCAAAAUGUUCUGGGCAUGUGUUAUAUGUACUACAAGAAAUGGCCCAAGGCAUCAAAACAGGGAACAGCCAAAGAAAUGAAAGAAUAGCCCAUGGAGCUACAGUUAUAAUAAUACUCUAUCACAUGUAACUUGAUUGUACAGUUAUAAUUAUUAAUUUGAUAAUUAUUAUUUGACCAAGUUUAAUUAUAAAAAUAAU
rnacentral:lncRNA from 1 species